UAUAGAGCUGUUCGAGAGACUUUGGUGGAUGAAGGUUCAUUUGUGAUUGCUCAAGACUGCCUAGUUACUUGUUCAUAGUGAGGGGAGGUACUUUUUGCAUAUUCUUAAAUAUAUACAAACAAAUUACUCUGGAUCCCGGAUAUAAAGUGUAUUUUUUGUAAUUGUACCUGUAUGUUAGCCUGUUAGGUACAGUAUCCGAUCAUAGAUACACUUAUAGGGUUUGUUAUUGGCUAACAUAUGUACAGAGUACAGACUGUGAUCUAAUUGGUUAAAUAUACAUCCUGGGCUGGUGCUAGAAGGAAGGUUUGAUUGCAUGGACCAGAUUUUGGAUUGUAUGUAUAGUUGUAUACAAAAUCAAUAUGUUAUUUGUUAUAGAUAGCGGUGAAAGUAUACAAAAUUUUAUACCCCGCCCCCCUUUUUCUUUGCUAAUUUACUAUGUGUCAUACUAUUGUGGCAUCUCAUCUUUUGAAAUUAAUUUUUCUUGUUUCCUGUUACUGCUGAUUGAACUACAUUUGGCUAGAGGUAUUCAUAGUUCACGUGCUUGAUAUAUGGAGCGAAUGCCUAAUAUAGAUAGGGCAAAUAAUCCUGGCGCUUGCAUUAUUGACUCAAUACAUCUCCCUGUCUCUUAGUAAUUUUCGACUCUUUACCAAAAACACAGGUCUCCACAAAGCACUACACUUAGAUUAUUAGAUUUGUUGCUAAAAUACUUGGUAAUUUACAUCUUUGAAUUAGUAGCUUUACCCAUGUUUAGGAGAUAAAUCUGAUGCUAAGUUGGUGAUAAACAUAUAGCCAAAUUUGUGAUAUAUCCUAUACUAUUGACCGCUUAAUUCAAAGCUUGGAUUUUUGAUGCUUUAGGGAGUACCUCAAUUGGAAUUUAAUUGAGUGACUCACCAGUAAACUGCUGGCUUCACUUUACCAAACACUUUGGAUGAAUGUUAGUGGGAUAGAGAAACGAGAGUAAUCAUCAUGAGUGCAGUAAAACAUGCGCAGUAAUAAAUGCUGAUUACACGUUCUCCUAUUAAAAUGUUGUGCAUGUAAACCCACUAAUAAUACAUCCGUUUGAAACAUAUUCUCUUCACAUUCUCUGAAUAUUUGAAAUAAAAAUCAAGAUCAAAUCUCUCGAAUUUUAAACUCUGAGAUUUAAGUCAAAGAAAAUAAAUUUCUGCAAACCUCAGAAUAAAGACAUAAUUUUCAGAAUAUUCAUCAAUAAAUCAGAGUUUGUUCUAAAAUCCAUAGCUCAAUAAUGUGCCUGUGAAAUGUGUGUGUGGUCAUGUUAAAUCAGAGAAUAUAAAAUUUCACAAUUUCGUAAUUAUAAGGUAGACAAAAAUAAUUUAUGCAAACUCUCAAAAUUUAGACUGAGACAUACUCUGAUGAUUCAGAUAAAAACCUACAUUCUUCUGGGGUCCGGUCGAGAGCUACUCUUCAUCUUGGUUACUUUUGUAUAGAGCUGUUCGAGAGACUUUGGUGGAUGAAGGUUCAUUUGUGAUUGCUCAAGACUGCCUAGUUACUUGUUCAUAGUGAGGGGAGGUACUUUUUGCAUAUUCUUAAAUAUAUACAAACAAAUUACUCUGGAUCCCGGAUAUAAAGUGUAUUUUUUGUAAUUGUACCUGUAUGUUAGCCUGUUAGGUACAGUAUCCGAUCAUAGAUACACUUAUAGGGUUUGUUAUUGGCUAACAUAUGUACAGAGUACAGACUGUGAUCUAAUUGGUUAAAUAUACAUCCUGGGCUGGUGCUAGAAGGAAGGUUUGAUUGCAUG
rnacentral:lncRNA from 1 species